rnacentral:rRNA from 1 species
GGUGAACGCUGGCGGCGUGCUUAAGACAUGCAAGUCGAACGGCAGUCUUCGGACUGUAGUGGCGCACGGGUGAGUAACGCGUAACUGACCUACCCCAAAGUCGCGGAUAAUGAUUCGAAAGAAUCGCUAAUACGUGAUGUGCUGUCAGAUUGUGUUGCCAGUAAAGAUUGAUUGCUUUGGGAUGGGGUUGCGUUCCAUCAGCUAGUUGGUGGGGUAAAGGUCCACCAAGGCGACGACGGAUAGCCGGCCUGAGAGGGUGGCCGGCCACAGGGGCACUGAGACACGGGUCCCACUCCUACGGGAGGCAGCAGUUAGGAAUCUUCCACAAUGGGCGAAAGCCUGAUGGAGCGACGCCGCGUGAGGGAUGAAGGUCUUCGGAUCGUAAACCUCUGAAUCAGGGACGAAAGACACUUCGGUGGGAUGACGGUACCUGAGUAAUAGCACCGGCUAACUCCGUGCCAGCCGCCGCAGUAAUAC